CAAUAGCGUAUAUUAACGUUGUUGCAGUUAAAAAGCUCGUAGUUGGAUUUCUGGAGGGAGCGUCGGCCCGUAUUUACGAGUGCGUGACGUCUCUGUCCAUCCUUGCGGGAAGGCACGGCAUUGAUUUGUUGUGUCGGAUCGCAUCAUUUACUGUGAAAAAAUUAGAGUGUUCAAAGCAGGCUUUCGCUUGAAUACAUUAGCAUGGAAUAAUAAAAUAGGACUUUGGUGCUAUUUUGUUGGUUGAGCCUAAAGUAAUGAUUAAUAGGGAUAGUUGGGGGCACCUGUAUUGCGUUGUCAGAGGUGAAAUUCUUGGAUUUACGCAAGACAAACAGCUGCGAAAGCGUCUGCCAAGGAUGUUUUCAUUAA
rnacentral:rRNA from 1 species